AACGAACGCUGGCGGCAUGCCUUACACAUGCAAGUCGAGCGCGAACGGAGCAAUCCUAGUAGAGCGGCGCACGGGUGCGUAACACGUGGAUAAUCUGCCUGGUUGCCCGGGAUAACCAGUCGAAAGACUGGCUAAUACCGGAUAAGCCCACGGCCUCUUCGGAGGCUGUGGGAAAAGGUGGCCUCUGUAUACAAGCUAUCACAUCCAGAUGAGUCCGCGGCCCAUCAGCUAGUUGGCGGGGUAAUGGCCCACCAAGGCAACGACGGGUAGCUGGUCUGAGAGGACGAUCAGCCACACUGGAACUGAGACACGGUCCAGACUCCUACGGGAGGCAGCGGUGGGGAAUUUUGCGCAAUGGGCGAAAGCCUGACGCAGCAACGCCGCGUGUGUGAUGAAGGUCUUCGGAUUGUAAAGCACUUUCGACCGGGACGAAAACCCGGAGCCUAAUACGCUCCGGCUUGACGGUACCGGGAGAAGAAGCACCGGCUAACUCUGUGCCAGCAGCCGCAGUAAUAC
rnacentral:rRNA from 1 species